GCCUACGGCCAGAUCACACUGAAUGCAUCUGAUCCCAUCUGAGCUCAGAAGCUAAGCAGUCCUGGGCCCAGCUAGUACCUGGAUCUCAGGUGCUGUAGGCA
rnacentral:rRNA from 1 species